CUCGGCCCCGGCUGCGCCCGGCUCGCCGAGAGCUCUGUGGCUCACCGAAAUGCCCCUCUCUGCCCUUGACCCCCUCCCUGCCUGCCCCGGCGCCGGCGGCCCCAGUGGCAUGAGGAGGUCACCGGACGUCAGCCCCCGGAGACUGUCGGACAUCAGCCCCCAGCUCCGGCAGCUGAAGUACUUGGUGGUGGACGAGGCGAUCAAGGAGGACCUGAAAUGGUCGCGCUCGAUGGAGGACCUCACCAGCGGGCCCAUGGGGCUCACGUCCAUCGAAGAGCGGAUUCUGCGCAUCACUGGCUACUAUGGCUACCAGCCCUGGGCCGCGAGCUACAAAAAAUCUUCAACCUAAACAAUAUUGAUGACCUGAGAAAAACAGGAGGAUAUUGGUUCAAGGGCACCAACUUUGAGUUAUAAG
rnacentral:lncRNA from 1 species